rnacentral:rRNA from 1 species
UACAGAGGGGGCAAGCGUUAUUCGGAAUUAUUGGGCGUAAAGGGCGCGUAGGCGGCUUGGCAAGCGGAAGGUGAAAUCCCUCGGCUUAACCGAGGAACUGCCCUCCAAACUGCUUUGCUUGAGGCCGGGAGAGGCGAGUGGAAUUCCCAGUGUAGCGGUGAAAUGCGUAGAUAUUGGGAGGAACACCAGUGGCGAAGGCGGCUCGCUGGACCGGUUCUGACGCUGAUGCGCGAAAGCGUGGGGAGCAAACGGG